AUAGGUGGGAGGCUUUGAAACCAGGACGCCAGUUUUGGCGGAGCCAUCCUUGGGAUACCACCCUUGUAGUACUGGGACUCUAACCAUAGGCCAUGAAUCUGGUCUUGGGACACUGUCAGGUGGGCAGGUUGACUGGGGCGGUCGCCUCCCAAAAGGUAACGGAGGCGCGCAAAGGUUCUCUCAGUACGGUCGGAAAUCGUACGGAGAGUGUAAAGGCAAAAGAGAGCUUGAUUGCAAGACAUACAGGUCGAGCAAGGAUGAAAAUCGGACUUAGUGAUCCGGUGGUUCUGCGUGGA
rnacentral:rRNA from 1 species